CAGCCGCCGCGGUAAUACGGAGGGUGCAAGCGUUAAUCGGAAUUACUGGGCGUAGAGCGCACGCAGGCGGUCUGUCAAGUCAGAUGUGAAAUCCCCGGGCUUAACCUAGGAACUGCAUUUGAAACUGGCAGGCUAGAGUCUUGUAGAGGGGGGUAGAAUUCCAGGUGUAGCGGUGAAAUGCGUAGAGAUCUGGAGGAAUACCGGUGGCGAAGGCGGCCCCCUGGACAAAGACUGACGCUCAGGUGCGAAAGCGUGGGGAGCAAACAGGAUUAGAUACCCCGGUAGUCCCUGUCUCUUAUAC
rnacentral:rRNA from 1 species